UGUGGCCAUACCACCCUGACCGUGCCUGAUCUCAGAAGCUAAGCAGGGUCAGACCUGGUUAGUACUUGGAUGGGAGAUUCCUACAUCUAAUGGGCUACUGAAUGUCCCCACCUGGACCUGCCUGGGUGCUGCA
rnacentral:rRNA from 1 species